AGCGGCGGACGGGUUAGUAACGCGUGGGAACGUGCCCUUCUCUACGGAAUAGCCUCUGGAAACGGAGAGUAAUACCGUAUACGCCCUUUGGGGGAAAGAUUUAUCGGAGAAGGAUCGGCCCGCGUUAGAUUAGGUAGUUGGUGGGGUAACGGCCUACCAAGCCUACGAUCUAUAGCUGGUUUUAGAGGAUGAUCAGCAACACUGGGACUGAGACACGGCCCAGACUCCUACGGGAGGCAGCAGUGGGGAAUCUUAGACAAUGGGGGCAACCCUGAUCUAGCCAUGCCGCGUGAGUGAUGAAGGCCUUAGGGUCGUAAAGCUCUUUCGCCUGUGAUGAUAAUGACAGUAGCAGGUAAAGAAACCCCGGCUAACUCCGUGCCAGCAGCCGCGGUAAUACGGAGGGGGUUAGCGUUGUUCGGAAUUACUGGGCGUAAAGCGCGCGUAGGCGGAUUAGAAAGUUGGGGGUGAAAUCCCGGGGCUCAACCUCGGAACUGCCUCCAAAACUGCUAGUCUAGAGUUCGAGAGAGGUGAGUGGAAUUCCGAGUGUAGAGGUGAAAUUCGUAGAUAUUCGGAGGAACACCAGUGGCGAAGGCGGCUCACUGGCUCGAUACUGACGCUGAGGUGCGAAAGUGUGGGGAGCAAACAGGAUUAGAUACCCUGGUAGUCCACACCGUAAACGAUGAAUGCCAGUCGUCGGGUAGUAUACUAUUCGGUGACACACCUAACGGAUUAAGCAUUCCGCCUGGGGAGUAC
rnacentral:rRNA from 1 species